AAGAAAGAAAGAAAGAAAGAAAGAAAGAAAGAAAAAUGUAAAGAAACUUUCAAGCCGAAUAUGUGUCAGUGAGGUUGUAAAAUAACCGCGACCAUAAAUAAGUCUUCUUCUCUGUGUCUCUCUUUGUUUCCUCCACAGGCUGCGGCUUGUCCCCGUGGCCAAACUACAGACAGUCCGACUGAUAAAUCGACACAAAGACUCUAUUUUUUGCUUUUACUUUAGUCUCCCACCCAGUGCAUUCCCAAGAAGCCAAGUUCUUAUUAAAGACGCCAUUCAGAGAUGUCUGGGAAGCUCAAUGACUUCAGCCUAAUUUUCUUGUUUCUUGCUGGACCACUUGAAUUUGAACAUUUAAACCUUUAUUUUUAACUUACUUUUUACUUUUUUACCUCCACCUCCCCUCUCGUGGCCUCUUUCAAAGAAGAUGAACUCCCUCUCUCCCCGGCAGGACGCUCUGUUUCCUCCCCGCUUUUUGGGAACGGGAAGCAGCCAAAUUGUUUUGGAGCUGACUGGGGUCUAAUCAUUGAUAAGCAGCGACUCUUGGAACAGGACAGGGAUGGCCUGCAGUCGGGGGACAGACACAGGACGGUGUGUUGGACAGUCGGGGGCAAAAAGCAUCAAACGGCAGAGAAAAAGAGCUUUCUGCAAGCAGUUUGGAGCUUUUGGCACCAACACAGCACGUGUUUUCAGGAGCUCCAGCGGAAAUACUUUCAUCGUGCUGCCGUGUUCAUCGUGCUGCCUCUGAAUUGUCCUUCAGAUCGACGCAGAGCCGUUUAACUGUUAGCCCAGCAGCUUUUUCUUUACAAUAAAUUAUAUAUAAGUGAAGCAGCCUAAAUAUUAUGACUUUCAUAUUUUUGCUUUGUCACUGCUAUGAUCUUACCUUAACAAGCUGUAUCUAUUAUUAUUGUGGUUGUUGUUGUUGUGGAUGGGACUCAAACUGCAUUUUCCUUGGCUUACGAUUUACUUACACAUAUCCUCUUAAAAUGCAUCCUGAGAAACGUUCAACCAUAACAUGUUUUUGCAACAGGCCUUUUUCCUUGGUUUAGACUGGAACGUGUGCAAUAUUAAGAUAAUACAAACGCUUAAGUGUUUACAGUCUUGUCAAUGUAGACGCUUCUGGGUUAGUUGUACAUGCGUGGAAUUUCCGCAUAAUAUAUAACUCUGUCAUGCUUGUACUUUCUGAAAUGUAUCAAAGUAUUCAAGGAGGCUACGCACAUGUGGAAACUUUGAAGGCGGUCAGUGUGGGAAGCCGUCAAUAUUUAGCCUGUAGCGUGAAGCUGCUGUUCUUUGUGGAUCUACAUUUAGAGACAGACUGCUCUGGACUCCCAAGACUUCCAAGGAUGAUAAUAAGCCCAAACGUUUCAACUUUUUCAACGGAUAUACUUGUUAAGCUGGCUGUAUUUCUGCGCAGUAAAUCAGACGUGUGUGUCUGUGUUAACUUCAGUGUAAACAUCUGAGGACCGCUGAAGGAAGCCCAGGAAUGUGAGAAACUUCAGACAACAGUGACAAUUAAAGCUAAAAGAGUCGGACCUCUA